AACGAACGCUGGCGGCAGGCUUAACACAUGCAAGUCGAGCGCCCCGCAAGGGGAGCGGCAGACGGGUGAGUAACGCGUGGGAAUCUACCCAUCUCUACGGAAUAACGCAUGGAAACGUGUGCUAAUACCGUAUGCGUCCUUCGGGAGAAAGAUUUAUCGGAGAUGGAUGAGCCCGCGUUGGAUUAGCUAGUUGGUGGGGUAAAGGCCUACCAAGGCGACGAUCCAUAGCUGGUCUGAGAGGAUGAUCAGCCACACUGGGACUGAGGCACGGCCCAGACUCCUACGGGAGGCAGCAGUGGGGAAUAUUGGACAAUGGGCGCAAGCCUGAUCCAGCCAUGCCGCGUGAGUGAUGAAGGCCCUAGGGUUGUAAAGCUCUUUCACCGGUGAAGAUAAUGACGGUAACCGGAGAAGAAGCCCCGGCUAACUUCGUGCCAGCCGCCGCCGUAAUAC
rnacentral:rRNA from 1 species